AAUUUUCAAGGUCUUUUCACGUUUUCAUGUAAUUAUGGAAAAGGGAAAAUCUAACAACAACUUCCCAUAAAUAAUAAUAAAUAAUAAUGUCAAAAUUAAAUUAUUAAUUAAAUACCAAUAAAUAAAAAAAGAAAAUAAAAAGAAGAACUCCAACGCUCCCUUCCCCUUCUUCUUCUUCUUCUUCUUCUUCUUCUUCUUCUUCUUCUUCUUCUUCCUUCCUUCCUUUCUUUUUCUUCCUUUCUUCUUCUUCUUCGUCAAACAUUCUGAUUCAGUUUCAUCAUGGAAACAACUCGCUCCUCUUAACCUUACUUGAAGUCGAACACAGAAAAGUAACAAAAAAAUUAUUCGAAUUUCUUCUCAGGAUGCCAUCUCGUAUCAUUUCUUCCCCAUCUCCUUCUCCUUCUUCACUACAAACCCAUCACCAUCCUUCUUCCACUCAUAUUCUUCCUCCAAUUGUUGCUGCUUCCACCGCUGCUUUCUCUCUUUUUCUCUUUCUCAUCAUUCUCUUCCGCAAACUUACUCGCAAACGCACUGCUCCUGCCGAUUCCAAGCCUCCCCAUCGUUUCUCUUACUCCCUUCUCCGCCGUGCCACCGAAUCUUUCUCCCCUUCUCGCCGCCUCGGCCAAGGUGGAUUUGGCUCUGUUUACUAUGGUACUCUUCCCCAAACCCAUAAAGAAAUUGCUGUCAAACUUAUGGAUUCUGGGUCUUUACAAGGCGAGAGGGAAUUUCAGAACGAACUGUUCUUUGCCUCCAAGAUUGACUCGUCUUUUGUCGUUAGUGUUCUUGGGUUUUGCUCUGAUCAAAAGCGGCGCAGGAUGUUGUUAGUUUAUGAGCUUUUGCAUAAUGGGAAUUUGCAGGAUGCUUUGUUGCACAGGAAGUGCCCUGAGCUUAUGGAGUGGAAGAAACGGUUUUCAGUGGCGGUUGAUAUUGCUAAGGGAUUAGAGCAUCUUCAUGGGUUAGAUCCACCUGUUAUUCACGGUGAUAUCAAGCCUAGCAAUGUGCUUUUGGAUCAUUGUUUCUCGGCCAAAAUUGGGGAUUUUGGGCUUGCUAGGUUGAAAUUAGAGAAUAGUCCAUUUGAGGUUGAGGUGAAAGUAAAAGGUGGAGUGGAGGAGGAGAAGAAGGAAAGAAAAGAGGAACAUGAGAGCAACCGUGGUUGUGUAGUCGAAGAUUGUGGAUCUAUGGCUGAGGAAGCUGAGAGCGUAACCACUGGAUUUGAGGAAUUCAACGUGGGUGUUGAUCAGUCACCGGAGAGCUUUUUGAGAAUUCCUGUUUCAGAGACUUCACCAGAGACGGUGGAUGUCACUUCGCCAGAGACUGCUUUGGGGGUUGCAACAAUGGCAUCCCCCUCAGAAGGGGCUUUUGAUAGAGUUAGUGUUGAGAAUGGGAAAGAACCCAACAGUGUAGAGAAGAAAAGUAAUAUUGGGUUUAAGAAUAGUAUCUCAGGUAAAGAUUGGUGGUGGAAGCAAGAAAAUGGAGUUGGUACCAGUGGGAAUGUUAAGGAAUAUGUUAUGGAGUGGAUUGGAUCAGAGAUCAAACGCGAGAGGCCGAAGAGCGAAUGGAUUGCUGCAUCGUCAAGUGGCAGAUCGGUUAAGAAGUCAGAGAAAAAGAAGAACAAGAAGCGAUUAGAGUGGUGGAUGGCUAUGGAUGAUGAAAAGAGUACCAAGAAUCUGAAAAAGGAGAAGAGAAGGCCAGUGAGGGAGUGGUGGAAGGAGGAGUAUUGUGAAGAGCUUGCAAAGAAAAGGAAGAAAAAGAAGCCCCAAAAAGGAGCAGGUAGUUGUGGUGAGAAAGAGCCUGACUUCUGGCCAGUGGAUGACGAAAUGUACAGAGAGAAAAAGAAGAGGAAUAGAAGCAGAAGCCACGGAAGCCGAGGUAGCAUUGAUUGGUGGUUAGAUGGGCUUAGCGGCGAACUCUGGAAAACUCGUGGGACCAGCCACGAUUCAACCGGAGGGGAUUUUCCCAAGAGUGGUGGCAUUAGUAGUACGCCAAGUAUGAGAGGAACAAUGUGCUAUAUUGCCCCUGAAUAUGGUGGCGGUGGAGAUCUUUCUGAGAAAUCUGAUGUUUAUAGCUAUGGAGUUUUAUUGUUAGUUCUUAUAGCUGGAAGAAGACCUCUUCAGGUGACAAAUUCACCAUUAUCAGAAUUCCAACGUGCCAAUCUCUUAUCGUGGGCUCGCCAUCUCGCCAGAGCUGGAAAGCUCAUUGAUUUGGUUGAUCAAUCGAUUCAGUCUUUAGAUCGAGAUCAAGCCCUUCUUUGCAUCAAGGUUGCCCUGCUUUGUCUGCAGAAACUGCCUGCUCGCAGGCCCUCCAUGAAAGAGGUUGUGGGGAUGCUAACUGGUGGGUUGGAACCACCCCAACUACCAACUGAAUUGUCUCCUUCGCCUCCAUCUCGCUUCCCUGUUAAGUCGCAUCGGAAGCCUCGCCUUAUUAUUCUCUGACCGCGCCAAAAGAACAAAAAGAAGAAGAAGAAAGUACGAGUAGAUUAUGUCUAAUCAAUGAACAAAACUGCUACUUGUGCGGAAACUUAGAACCUUAAAAAUAUCAUCAGCUUGUUUGGCAGUGGAGCCUGCAAGCAUCUUGCUUUAUUAUAAGUUUGAUAAUUUUUGGGCAGUUACUUAUCUAUUUCACUUACUUUUGGAAGUUGACCGAAAAUUUUUACAACUAGGCAUGCCUUUUGCUUUAGUUGAAAGGAAAUGAUAGUACAGAAAAGCAAUAGUAUUGGCAAUAGAGCUAGAAUUGCAGACCUUUUGCUCUGGAAUUUCUUUUUCCCUUUUGAUGAGGAAACUACUUUUGUUAAGAGACAUCGAAGAUUGAUAUACACUGGGCCAUACCCCCCCCCCCCCCCCCCCCCCCACAAAAAAAAAAAAAAAAACCGACAGACUUAGGCCAUCCAAAAGGCUCCAAAGCCUACUGAAGGAGCUUCGAUUACUGAUUACUAACAGUAAAGAAUAAAGGAAAGUUACUAAAGAGAAUUGUCCAAAAAAGCUCACAAGGAGGUGUUGAAAUGUUUCACACUUCAAAUCUCUUUCCAAGAUCCCUCAACACUCAAAAUCUUGUUAUUCGUCUAUUAUGGAACGAAAUGAAGUACGACCUUCUUCAUCAUUAUAUGGCAACUCUGUCCAAUGGCCGAAACCCGACUCAGGUACUUGGGUGAAUUUAUCAGGGAAAGCAACUCCAACUAACUGAAAUAGAGGUGAUUCCAAUUCUCUAAUUAGGAGCGCUCCAAAGUAGGUGGAAGACACAGCUAAAGCACUAGUCUCUCGUCUUCAUUGAUUAACUAUCAGCAAGGGAAGUUUAGAUACCAAUUUGAAGAGCAUUUGCUUACUUUUCCUUAGGGGUCGAGAGCUGCCAGCCCUGGAGAUAGAUGUCUUGUUGGACGAAGUUUUCAAACAACUCCUUGUAGACUCGUGCUUUCUUCAAGACAUUCUAUUUGUUCUUCUGCAAUUGCUGAUACUUUAAAUGUAAGUCUCCUACUUUUUUCCCUUAGUUCUGCAAUCAUUCACUAUCAUUACUUAUUGGCCCUCUACUUUCCCAAGUCUAAGAAGCAUUUGGAUGCAUAAAUGCCCAACAAAUAAAGUCAGCACAAUCAUGGCUAUUGAAUCUGGGUUAAACUUGUCAACGUUGUACUUUAAUACAUAUUCUUGUACUGACCAAGUUUCCAGGUAAAGUUGGCUGUGACUGAGGGAAAAGAUUGGCUCUCAUUGGACAAUACUAUUGUCUCACCGGAUGGUACGCCAAGCAUGAAAUGGACAUACAGAUCUCGUUCUAUGCAUUGUUGCUUGUGUUGUUAUAAUCAUGACUGUACAGUGUUUAAUUUACCCGUUCCAUUCAGUUUGGAUGGUCGAGGUUAUUUUAAAGCGUUCUUACGAUACAUCAUUUCAACUUCUUUUGUGUUAGAAAAUCAAGUUAAAUGAUAUGAUCUGAACUUUUUAAACUCA